UAAGAAGGUUAUUGCUUCAUAGGAUUUAAUUGAUAUAUUGAUUUUGUAUCUUGAGGGAUUAUGAUUAAUGCUAUAGUUGAUUGUAUUGUGAGAGAUUUUUGAAAAAUUGAAAAUUGAUUUUUUUAUAAGUAAUAUUUUGUACCUUUUGUAUUAGGGGUUAAUUAUAAUAAGUAAAUAUUUAUAUUUCCCGAAAGAUUUUGAGCUACAUUUUUGGUUUUGUAUUGUUGUAUAAAUAUGAUAGAGGAAUUGUAGAAAUGAAAUUUUAUUCGAAAAAUUUGAUAUCUGGUUAUUAGUGUUUAAAAUUAUAUAUUUUAGGAUGAUUUUUUAGGUAAUUUAAAAGAGUCAUUUAUUUAUUUUUUAGGGAUAAGCUUAAAAAAUUUAUAUAAAUAAUUAUAUGUUAUAUUGAAGGUUUAGAAAUUACUGAUUUAUUUGUAAUAAAAUAAUAAUUUGGAUGAUUAAUUUUAUUAAGGUUUUGCUAUUUAAUUUUUAAUAGAGGAUUAAAUAUUAAUAUAAGUAUAAGUUUUGAAUUGAGUUAAUUUUUGAUUAUAAAUUUAUUUUAAUAGAUUGUAUGUAAAGGAAUUAGGCAAUUAAAAUUUUUGAAUGUUUAUCAAAAACAUUGUAUUUUGAUUUGAUGAAAUAUAAAGCCUGCUCAAUGAAGAUUUAAAUUGCUGUGGUAUUUUGACUAUACGAAGGUACUGAAAUAAGUCUUUAAUUGGGUGCUAAGGGAAUGGUUUAACAAGGAUUAUCUUUCUUUAUAUAUAUAAUAGAAUUUAAUUUAAAAAUGAAAAAGUUUUUAUUAGUUUUUGGGACAAGAAGACCCUAUGAAUUUUUUUUUGAAAAUUUAUAUAAUUUUUAAUUUAAUUAAAUUAUUGUAAUUUUUGAAGUUGAUUGGGGCGAUUUUUAAAGAAUAUUUAUCUUUAAAGAUUUAUUUAAAUUGAUCCAAAAUUUUUGAUUUUUUGAUUAAAAUACUCUAGGGAUAACAGCGUUAUUAUUUUGGAUAGUUCAUAUAGAUAAAAUAGAUUGCGACCUCGAUGUUGGAUUAAGAUACUUUUAUAAUGAAGUAGUUAUAUUAAGAAGUUUGCUCAACUUUUAAAAUCUUACAUGAUCUGAGUUCAGACCGGCGUGAGCCAGGUCGGUUUCUAUCUAAAUAUUUAGGUAUAUUUCUUUAGUACGAAAGGAAUAGGAAAUUUAAAUUUUUUAUUUAAAGAAAAGACUGAAAGU
rnacentral:rRNA from 1 species